rnacentral:rRNA from 1 species
CCUACGGGGGGCAGCAGUGGGGAAUUUUGGACAAUGGGGGAAACCCUGAUCCAGCCAUGCCGCGUGCGGGAAGAAGGCCUUCGGGUUGUAAACCGCUUUCGGACAGAAAGAAAUCGCAUGGAUUAAUACUCUGUGUGGAUGACGGUACUGUAAGAAGAAGCACCGGCUAACUACGUGCCAGCAGCCGCGGUAAUACGUAGGGUGCGAGGGUUAAUCGGAAUUAGUGGGCGUAAAGCGUGCGCAGGCGUAAAAUCCCCGGGCUUAACCUGGGAAUGGCGUUUGAAACUGGAUGUCUAGAGUGUGGCAGAGGGGGGUGGAAUUCCACGUGUAGCAGUGAAAUGCGUAGAGAUGUGGAGGAACACCGAUGGCGAAGGCAGCCCCCUGGGCUAACACUGACGCUCAUGCACGAAAGCGUGGGGAGCAAACAGGAUUAGAUACCCCAGUAGUC